UGACGUCCAUAUGGUCGAACGUCGCGUA
rnacentral:sRNA from 1 species